AUGAACGCUAGCUACAGGCUUAACACAUGCAAGUCGAGGGGCAUCAGGAAGAAAGCUUGCUUUCUUUGCUGGCGACCGGCGCACGGGUGAGUAACACGUAUCCAACCUGCCCUUUACUCGGGGAUAGCCUUUCGAAAGAAAGAUUAAUACCCGAUGGCAUAAUGAUUCCGCAUGGUUUCAUUAUUAAAGGAUUCCGGUAAAGGAUGGGGAUGCGUUCCAUUAGGUUGUUGGUGAGGUAACGGCUCACCAAGCCUUCGAUGGAUAGGGGUUCUGAGAGGAAGGUCCCCCACAUUGGAACUGAGACACGGUCCAAACUCCUACGGGAGGCAGCAGUGAGGAAUAUUGGUCAAUGGGCGCUAGCCUGAACCAGCCAAGUAGCGUGAAGGAUGAAGGCUCUAUGGGUCGUAAACUUCUUUUAUAUAAGAAUAAAGUGCAGUAUGUAUACUGUUUUGUAUGUAUUAUAUGAAUAAGGAUCGGCUAACUCCGUGCCAGCAGCCGCGGUAAUACGGAGGAUCCGAGCGUUAUCCGGAUUUAUUGGGUUUAAAGGGAGCGUAGGUGGACUGGUAAGUCAGUUGUGAAAGUUUGCGGCUCAACCGUAAAAUUGCAGUUGAUACUGUCAGUCUUGAGUACAGUAGAGGUGGGCGGAAUUCGUGGUGUAGCGGUGAAAUGCUUAGAUAUCACGAAGAACUCCGAUUGCGAAGGCAGCUCACUGGACUGCAACUGACACUGAUGCUCGAAAGUGUGGGUAUCAAACAGGAUUAGAUACCCUGGUAGUCCACACAGUAAACGAUGAAUACUCGCUGUUUGCGAUAUACAGUAAGCGGCCAAGCGAAAGCAUUAAGUAUUCCACCUGGGGAGUACGCCGGCAACGGUGAAACUCAAAGGAAUUGACGGGGGCCCGCACAAGCGGAGGAACAUGUGGUUUAAUUCGAUGAUACGCGAGGAACCUUACCCGGGCUUAAAUUGCAGUGGAAUGAUGUGGAAACAUGUCAGUGAGCAAUCACCGCUGUGAAGGUGCUGCAUGGUUGUCGUCAGCUCGUGCCGUGAGGUGUCGGCUUAAGUGCCAUAACGAGCGCAACCCUUAUCUUCAGUUACUAACAGGUCAUGCUGAGGACUCUGGAGAGACUGCCGUCGUAAGAUGUGAGGAAGGUGGGGAUGACGUCAAAUCAGCACGGCCCUUACGUCCGGGGCUACACACGUGUUACAAUGGGGGGUACAGAAGGCAGCUAGCGGGUGACCGUAUGCUAAUCCCAAAAGCCUCUCUCAGUUCGGAUCGAAGUCUGCAACCCGACUUCGUGAAGCUGGAUUCGCUAGUAAUCGCGCAUCAGCCACGGCGCGGUGGAUACGUUCCCGGGCCUUGUACACACCGCCCGUCAAGCCAUGGGAGCCGGGGGUACCUGAAGUACGUAACCGCAAGGAUCGUCCUAGGGUAAAACUGGUGACUGGGGCU
rnacentral:rRNA from 1 species